rnacentral:lncRNA from 1 species
CAUCUUUCACUCUUCCAACAAUAAUCUUAAAAUCAAUAUUGUUUUUGUCUUUGAACAGUCUUACAAUCCUCUUGUUAUUUGCAGGCAGUGCAGUGGGGACUGUAAUUUUUCACGGUUUUCCUUCCUCUGCCAUUGAUGCCUUUAUUAUUUCAAUUGUCUUUGCUUUUUCAGGUGCUUUGAGUGCUCUUUUGGUUCCUCAAAGGCACAAAUUAGCAAGAUUUUGUGCCUUGUAUUCUCUGGCUUCCCUGGCUUCCGCUCUGCUUCUGCUGAUUUGGGGACUGUAUCAUACACUCAUUCUUGGCAAAGCUCAGAGUGCUUUAUGACCUUAGAAUAUGUUUGGUUCUGGUUUUUGUUAAACCUCUUUUGAGCUUUGAAUCUAAAUAUUCUCCCAAGUGUUUUCAGUAAUGUUUACAAAUAGUUAAGAAUAUGAAGAAGAUCUGUUAAUUCACCUGUACGUCGUACUUUUAAGCCAUCUCUUUUAGUUGAAUCCCUUCUCUUCUCUUCUCUUCUCUUCUCUUCUCUUUCUUUCUUUCUUAAUAGAAUCAAUAUGUUUUUCUUAUUCGUGAGAUUAGGGUUAUUGGGUUCGAUUUUACUUUCUUGUUUGUGAGAUUAGGGUUAUUGGGUUUGGUUUUGGUCCGCGAAGUUUCAAAACAAAACAUUUUCAUUAAGGAAUGAACCAUAAAUCCUAUGUCAGGAGUACAACAAUUGUUGGGUGAAGUACCGAAUCUUCAACCUCUAGGUUGAAAGACUAUGUCAAUUACCAUAGAGUUAAACUUAAUUUGUUUUAGUUAUAAGCUAAAAGAAGUUGUUUAAUUAUUAAAUAGGAAUAUUAAGAAAAUGUUUGGGACAAACCUAGAGUUAUUUAGAUGUGGAGUUUACAAUGCAAUGAGCUAAUAAAGUCCUGAAAUUAAUAUUUGUUAGUCAACCAAAUAGUAGAGUUAACAAACAAUUCCCUCAACUCCCACUCGUCAAGAUAAGUAUGGCCUACGUGUUUAAAGGUGGCUCAUUGAGUAUACAAGAAGAAUGAUAUUUAAUCGGAUUUAUAGUCCUCAAUGGAUUACUUCUCUUUUAAGUCCUAUUUUCGGCCAAACAGAGAAUUUUGCUCCGAAGAAGAUUCUAAGCCAAUUCUCAAUUUUAUUUAUUGAUUUUUUGUUUUUUUUUUUUCCAGAAAACAAACAGCAAGAAGAUCGAACUACAGAACUACAUCAAGAGACACAAGUGAAACAAACCACCCAAGAUAAGGGAAGUAGAUAAGAGAAAAAAAAGGUUGCUCUUCCAACAUCUUAGACGUCGGAGAGUGGGCCAGAACAUCUUAGAGCACCACAUGUCAUUAUCUUCCUACAAAUUGAAAUCUUCCUAUUGUAUACUUUGAAUCCAUGUACUUCGAUAUUCUCCUAUGCAUAAAUCUGCUCAUGAUCGUUCUUGAAUAAUUAUAUAUACAACCUAGUUUAUAAACGUUACAAGUGAUUUGAUUUGAAGGUUUAAGACCCUCCAUAAACCUUCAAUCUCUCAAUAAUAAUGACUAUAAAAGAACUAAUGGUUACCGGGGCCAAGUUGAAAAAAAACCAAAACAAUCUUUUUUAAUAAGUAAUCACAAUACUUUGUUUGUAUUUUGUAUUCUUGUUAUAAUAAUAAAAAGGAGCAUACUGUUAGAUACCUAGAUUUAGAUAGGGCUAAGGGUAGUUAGUUAUAUAAGGCAGUUAGAUGGUUAUAAACAGGGAGUUAGGGAGGGAAGAAAGACAUGAAGAAUUUGGUGAAGAAAUAGGGUUGCUGCAAUAUUCCUUGAAAGAGGGAAAGGACAGAGGGUUAGGGUUCUUUUACUUCUUUUAUAUUCUAAUUCCUAUUGAAAGUAUCAAUAAAAUAGAAACACUAUAUCAGUGUUCUAUCAAAUUGGUAUUAAAGCACUCAUUUCCUGAGAAAUCAAAGGAAAAUGGCAGUCACAGGAACUCUCGAAUCCAUAAUAAAAAAUAUGAAGCGGUUGGGAAUUCAAAUCGAGGAAAUCAACCAACCGAUGUUAAAGUGGAUUGAAAUAGAGAAGGAAGAAACGAAAUGGAGAGGAAUCAAAAACCAAAAGCAGUAAGGAAAAGGAGGAAGCGAAAAGGAGAGAGUUCAAAGAAGAUUCGCUAAUGAAAUAUAUUGAAGACGAGAUUCGUGAGAGAUAUACAACGAGCAAAAUAGAAGAUCCAUCCUGCCGAAUAAAGAUGAGUGAGAAUAAGGUAGAGCAAGGUGAAGAAUCCAUACUUGAAAUAAUUGAGGAAUCGAAAACGUGCAACACGAUUAUUGAGCGCUUAGAGGAUCAAACCGAGAAACAACAACAUAUUCAGUACAUCGAAAGCUUGGCAAAGAAAAAAAUUACAAUCAGUAUAGGAAGCACAACAUCGGCAAGUCAAGUGUUGAUGAUGGACAGUACAGUCAAAGGAAGAAAUAUACGAUUGAAAGAAACCAAGAAUGAAGAACGAAUGAAGAAGAUAGAAAUUGAAGAAGAUAUGAGUAAUCCAAACGAAUUACCAAUGUUUAGCGGCAAGGACUUCGAUUCAAUUUUUUUAGGUACCAAACGAAAAUUACAAAAGUAUACAAGGAAUGAUUUUGGGAAAUUAAUCGAUGCAACAAUAAGGUUCGAUGAAAGGACAUUAGAUUGGUCUCGAUCGAAGAAGGUGAGUGAAGAACUUUUCUGCAGACGAAUUUCAGCAAUCAAACGAAAAGCAAUCGUAGAAGGUCGGCAGGGAAUAAUGGUGAGAUGCGGAACGAAGAUUCAAUUGAAGAAAAAGUUGUUGCUUAAGGAAACCGAAACUAGUUGGUUGCGAUGGAGAAUGAAGAAGCCGGAAGUUAUCUUUUCGCGAUGGGAAAGAAGUAUUAAUAUAAUUAGAUUAUUCUUAGGAGAUAUUAUUCUGGAGAUAUUAUUUUAUAUUAUUAUUUUAUAUUAUUUUCUUAAGUGUAUUUCUCUAUGGUUAUAUAUAGGCUUGUAUCUCUACUAAAUAAUGAAUGAAAUAUAGAUUUAUUCCAUAAAAUCAACAUGGUAUCAGAGCUCUAGGGUUUUCGCCUUAUUGAAUUCUAGCCUCCACAUCCCGUUUGAUCUCUGCCUCCGUUGAUCAUUCAUCAACGGAGGCAGAAUCAUCUCUCAUUAGCCAUCAACGGAGGCAAAAUCAUCUCCCAUUAGCCGAAGCCACCCCUUAGAUCUGCAAAUCUGCCGUUGUCGUUGCACCUUCCCUUUGCCACUCAUUGCUGUUCAAAUCUGCCACUAUCCAAACCCCAGAAACCCCAUUAGUUUUUCACUAGCGUCCGCGGCGGCCAUCUCCUUCAUAGUUCUUCGUCCGACCUCUUGUUUUUCUGUUAGCCAAGCAGCCGAUUGAACCUCUGCCAGUUGAAGCCGAACGCCUCUGCCAGUUGAAGCCGAACGCCCAGCCGAAGAGUUUCGGUUUUGUCCAUCGUCCAAGAAGCUCCGCUCGCCGCUGUGUUUCGUUGUCGUUGCUCCAUCUUUUUAUGUUGUCUCGACAAAACCCAUGAAACCCCAUGUCCUCAGAUCCUCGCGUCCGCCUCCAAUUUGUUCCAGACCUGUAUGAUUUCAUUCAGACCCAUUCUUCAUGUCUGCCUUUGAAGUUUAGAUCGAAGCCCAGAUCCAACGACGCCUCCAUUCUGUUUUUGUUCAGAUCCGCUAAGCCUCUCUGCUCCAUUCAGUUCAGUUUCCGUUCUGUUCGCCCCAGAUUUCCCGUUUAAUCUGAUUCUGACUUGCUCUAGUUUAGUUCGUUCAGUUCCAUCUGAUCCGACAAAACACUUCUGUCCAAUUCCGACCUUGUUUUCGUCCAGCUUUGAUUCUACUUUGCUUCAGUUUUGCUCUUUCAUUUUGCCCCUCGAAGUUCUUGUUUCGUUCUUCCUAGGUUCAUGUUAUAGAUCUCUAUACGAGGAUCUAUGUUUCUAUCCCAGAAGUUUUUCGUGGGUUUGUUCUAACCUAGAAGUUCUUUGUGUGUUUGUUCUUCGGGUUUUUUAUUCUAUUCUAGAUAUAUUGUUUCUUUUCUUAGUUCUUAGCAAACUCAAGUUUGUGAUUUCAACCUUGAGUUUGAGGGAGGGUAUUAAUAUAAUUAGAUUAUUAUUAGGAGAUAUAAUUCUAGAGAUAUUAUUUGAUAUUAUUUCCUUAAGUGUAUUUCUCUAUGGUUAUAUAUAGGCUUGUAUCUCUACUAAAUAAUAAAUGAAAUAUAGAUUUAUUCCAUAGAAUCAACAAGAAGAAGUCGAAGUCGGCAGUCCGUCUGGAUGUGAAGGAGAAAGAAAAUGUCGACAAGUGGAUGGGAAAAGAAGACGACGACAGUCAUCUGGAUGCGAGGAAGGAGGAAAACGUUGUUAAAUGAUGAUCCAUGGUGGUCCGAGGAGGUGAUCGGGAAGAUGGGAAAAUCGCAUGAAGAGGAUGAAGUUGCACACGUAAGGAUGCCAAUGACGUGGCAGAAAGUGAUAGAAGAGAAGAAUAGGGCAAGAGAAAUAAACCCUAAAAUUUUAGGCUUUAUUUUUUCUAGUGGGCUUCAACUUUUAUUAUGUGAACUUCAACUUUUGAUAAAUAUAAUAGUGGAGGUCCAUUAUUAUAUAGAUGAAGUGGGUGGAGAUUUUCAAGAAUAGGAGAGACGAAAAACGUGCCUAAAAUUGGGGAAAGAAAGAUUCAGUAAUAAUGGGUUGGGUUGUAGGCUGGAGAAAGAAUAUUUUGGGUAUGGGUUGAAGGCAAUGGAUCUGUUUGGAGUCUAGAAUUUUUUGAAGCUGAAGAGAAUUUGUUUUUCAAACUUGACGAGCAUAUCACUGUGAAGGGUUGUAAUUAAAAUACGGGGGGGGGGGGGGGGGGGGGGGGGUCAAUUUUGUGAUCAUAUUUGUAAGCACACCUUGAGGACAAGGUGUUUUUGAAGGCCUGGGUAAUGUUAGAUUAGAUGGGGCUAAGGGUAGUUAGUUAUAUAAGGCAGUUAGAUGGUUAUAAAUAGGGAGUUGAGGAGGGAAGAAAGGCAUGAAGAAUUUGGUGAAGAAAUAAGGCUGCAACAUUCCUUGAAAGAGAGAAAGGACAGAGGGUUGGGGUUCUUUUACUUCUUUUAUAUUGUGAUUCCUGUUGAAGGUAUCAAUAAAAUAGAAAUACUAUAUCAGUGUUCUAUCACAUACAUGUAAACAUUUCACAAAUAAAAGUACCAAAUAAAUUUAUCAGAAUUUUUGUCACCUAGAUUCCGAGUCAUCUACAUGUUUGUUUAUAUAUGUAGCAGCAUCUAAGAGGCCCAACUAAUGGCUAAAAGAAAAGCAAGAAUGAUAUGUUUAAAUGACUAUCCACAUUCCACAAUAUAUAAUCUUUCAUUCCUUUGAUAAAAAUAUUCAUGCUUGAUAGAAAUAGAUUCUUGAAGCAUUAAUAAAAUGAGGAACAAACCAGAAACUAUCCACGCCACAUGCAAUAUUUAAUUGAAAUACCACUUUUUUGAUGAAUUUUCUUUAGAUAUUAUAAUAAAUUUAUCUUCGCUCAACUUAAACUUGUGGGUGGAUUGGUGAUUUAAGAAUUUUAUAUAUGGAUGCAUAUGUUGAUGGUAGGGAUGUAAGAAUAACCCGACGAAUCCGGACUAUAUGGGUUGGGUUGGGUUGAAAAUUUUGGUAUUUUUUGGGUUGGGAUGGGUCUCGUAUUAUUAUUUAUUUAAUAUUUAUGGAUUAUGUUUGUAAUGUUGAACUUUUAUGGAUAUUUGAAACUUUGAAUUUAUGAAUGUUCCAAUUUUUGGAGGUGUGUAUUUAUCAAUAUGAUAGGUAUAACAAUUUUAAAUUUUAUAAACAUUAGAAAUGAAAAGAAAAAACAAUACAACCUAACAACCCAACUCAUAUUUUAAGGGUAGGGUUGGGUUGGGUUGAGAAUAUUAUUCGGGUUGCCAACCCAACCAACUUGAAAAUAUGGAUUGGGUUGGGUUUCCAACCCGUUUACACCCCUAGUAGGUGGCGUGAAAAAGAACAUGCAUAUCACAUAUUGGUGAUGUCAUUUUCAAUAAUAUGAAGCUCUUUCUUUUUGUUACCUUCCUAUAAAAUCUCUUUACCUUACGUUUUCUGCUUCCCUAUCAGCUCAGAAAUCUCCUCGUAAACUCCUUCAGAUUGCUUAUAAUUUGAGUAUGGAAAUCUCAGGAGCCCAUUUCUUUGCACCUGAAAAAUAUGGCAUGAUCCAAAAUCCCAAUAUCAAUGAAUUAUUGUCUUGUAUUCCUGUUAACUCAAUCUCUACUUCUGAUGAUGGUGAUGAUCAGAACCACAAACCUGGAAUAGUCAUCGAUGAGAGGAAGCAAAGGAGAAUGAUAUCGAAUUGGGAAUCGGCACGAAGGUCCCGAAUGAGGAAACAGAAGCAUCUUGAUGAACUUUGGUCAGUGGUACUUCAUCUUCGUACAGAGAAUCAUAGUCUCAUGGAGAAGUUGAAUCAGUUAACAGAUUCUGAACAACAGCUUCUUCAAGAGAACGUCAAGCUCAAAGAAGAAGCAUUGAAUUUACAUCGGAUGAUCACUGAUAUUCAAAUGGGCAGUCCUUACACAACUCACUUGAGAGAGCUGGAGGAAGCCCCCUGCAAUACAUUUGUUAUCAUGGCUGAAUCCUCAAGCCAAUCUGAUGAGUAGAGAAGUUACCUUCCACUGUUUCACUAAGAUCAUAGCUAUUUCCUCACAUAUUCUCUUCCAGUUCUGUUUUAGAAUGCUUGUAAUAAGCCUCUACCCUUUAGUCGGCAGACUCACCAGUAUAAAAUGAAAAAAUUAUUAAUUUAUACCUUUAAAAAGUAUCAACUUAAAUCCUAAACUAAUAAUCAUGUGAAUUUACACUAUCCAUUACAUUCAGUUUGAAAAACCUCGCAUAAAACUUAUAGUUGUAUCAAUUAAAGCCCUGAAAUUGACAUUUGAAGAAGUCUAACACACAUUUGAAAAUUAAAGCAUAGUUUAUUUUCAGAAGUAAAUCGUAACAAAGGGAUUAAAAUGAUGGACUUAUCAAAACUUUAACAGUUUAAUUAACGAAAAAUUUUAAGUUUCAUAUCAUAUUUGUCAAACUAAACCUGGAGGACAUAAGAUAUAAAUUGAUAACACUUUCCAAAGCUUAAAUCGAUACAGUUAUUAGUUCAGAUUCAAGGUUUAAACUGAUACAGAAAGUUGGUAUAAAUUGAUAUUUAACCAACCAAUAGACUUCUAAAAUCUGCUCAAUAAACACCAUGGUGCUCUCUGGGGACUUUUCUCAAACACCUAGUGGGCCAAAGCAGUUGAAAACUACUCAAUAGAUUAAUGAAGUAACAGGAAAGCAACUAAUCAAAUGAAGCCAGAGUUGUGUAGCAAGUCCAGUGAAAACAAGUAUACCUUCCAAGAACAUAGAAAAGUAAGCACCAAUAACACAAAAUGGUGGUGGAAGUGGUGGGGACAGUGGCAAAAUAUCUACCAAGUAAUAUAAAAGUAAAGUGGCAAAAACAUGAAAAAAGAAGUCAUAUAGACAAACCCAUCUGCAAUUGAACUCGAAUGAUUUUCUCCUUUUUACCUGAGCAUCAAAUUCCUUGCUUCCUUCAACUUGGUUUUAGUUCAGCCAAGUCCAUCGCUAUCCGCAAAUCUUCAAUUGGGAUUCUACAAAAUCGAAAUUGGGAACAUAUUCACAGUUGACGAUUCGUUUUGAUUCUUCUUUCAUACGUGAGUGAAUAUGAAUUUCAGACACCAUUUUGCAAGCAAAAACUGCCCAACUACCCCAAAUCCUAAUGUGUAGCUGGGUAUCUAACAAAGUAGUAGCUUUAUUGUUGGGGAUUUGGAGCCCUUUUGGUUGCGAUUGAUUCCAAUUGAUAGCGAUUUCUCGUUGGGUGGAUUAAAGUUUGUUUGAGAAUAAUUUUGCAGCACUUUAAUGCGUGUGUUAAACAGAUGUGAAGGUGGGAAUUUUGAGAAGAGAAUUAAUUCCGAAACUAGAGAUGAUCACGAGCCCGUCGGGAAAUGACGUUCUAUUCCGGCAAAUUCCUAUUCUUACCUACCAAAGGAACCACAAUACUUACAAAAUAUCACCUUUCUUUAUCUCUACUAUUUUAUUAUAUUUAGGUAAAUUCCUCUUUUCCUAAUCAUGAUUGGUAGCAAAUUUAGAUUUAAAAACCCAGAAAUAAAUUCUUCAACUCCUUGCCCAAUUGAAAUGUUUUUUAAUAAAUUCAUUUUUUCUUAAAUCCUUUAAAAUACCCUUCAAACUUUAUUUUUAAUGAUUUUUAAACAAUUUAGUUUGUUUUCAAAAUAACUUAUUUUCUAAAUUAAAACACUCACAAAAUCUAAUCCAAACACCUCAUAAACUCAACUUAUUUAUAAAAUUAAUAGAAUUUUACAAUUAAAAAAGAUGCUCAAAUUUUAAUGAUAUAAUACAUAGUAAAAUAUAGCAAAACAAACUAGGAUAAUAUAAAUUUAUUUGUGAUAAAAGAUGUUUAAAUAUAGCAAAAUAUUAUAGCCUAUUGUGAUAAACUGUUAUUUGUAUAUAUCACAAUACAUCUAGAUAAGGAUGGUAACCUAUCACAACACAUCUAGAUAAGGAUGGUAGUCUAUCACAUAGAUACAUAAAGUAAUAUUUUUCUAUAUUUGUAAACAUUUUCAAUAGUUUUUUAUUUAAAAUAAUUUUUAAAUGGCAAAAGUGGUCAAUUUAAAUAUAAAUAUUAUAUACACUAAUAUAAUAAAACAAUUAAGAAAACAAAUAUUCAAUCACAUGAUAAACUAAUUAAAAAAAUGUGGAACUUGAUGUUUGGUAAUAUAAAUUUAAGUGAAAUUGAUAAUUGGUUCCAAGUUUGGUACUGUUUUAGUAAACAAAAUGUAUAAAGAUUUGAACUAAUGACCGUGAGAGAAGAAAUGUACUUAACUAUGACUUGAGAGAAGAAAUGUACUAACUAUGACCGAUUAUUGGGGGCUUGUUUUUUUUUAAAAAAAUCAACUUCUUUGAAAUAAUUACACAUAUAAAAACAUUCCUAAUAAUAGACUAAGAGUUGCUAUUAAAAAAAAGCGCAAAGGAAUAAGUGGAUGAUUCGAUCUUAUAUUGACUUAUCAAUUUCUAAAUUCUACCCGAUCAUGAUUCUACCAUCAAUAUCUACUGGAAUAGUGACAAUGAAGACAAAAAUAAAUACAUAAGUUGCGAUCAAUAAGAUAGGGAUCAUCAAAACACCAAAUCAUCCCAUGUAAAGACAAUUUUCAUUGUUGGUUAUCCAGUUAUAGAAACAAUCCCAUAGGUUUUCGCUUUCGCUCUCUAAUAUUAUAACCACAUUCAUUUUUUUUUACCAAUAAUUGAGCACUCUUUUGUAGGUAAAUAUUUGCAUAUUUGAUUCCAUCCAUAAAACUUCUUUCUUA